GUGAACGCUGGCGGUAGGCCUAACACAUGCAAGUCGAACGGCAGCGCAGUAAGAGCUUGCUCUUACGGGUGGCGAGUGGCGGACGGGUGAGGAAUACAUCGGAAUCUACUUUUUCGUGGGGGAUAACGUAGGGAAACUUACGCUAAUACCGCAUACGACCUACGGGUGAAAGCAGGGGAUCUUCGGACCUUGCGCGAUUGAAUGAGCCGAUGUCGGAUUAGCUAGUUGGCGGGGUAAAGGCCCACCAAGGCGACGAUCCGUAGCUGGUCUGAGAGGAUGAUCAGCCACACUGGAACUGAGACACGGUCCAGACUCCUACGGGAGGCAGCAGUGGGGAAUAUUGGACAAUGGGCGCAAGCCUGAUCCAGCCAUACCGCGUGGGUGAAGAAGGCCUUCGGGUUGUAAAGCCCUUUUGUUGGGAAAGAAAAGCAGCAGGUUAAUACCCCGCUGUUCUGACGGUACCCAAAGAAUAAGCACCGGCUAACUUCGUG
rnacentral:rRNA from 1 species